rnacentral:rRNA from 1 species
GGGGGCAAAUUAAAAAUUUAAAUUUAAUAAAAGAAUUUUUAAUAUAAAAAUAUAAUAAUGGGGGUUAUAGUAUUUUUAAAGAAAAAAAUUGAAAUAUUUAUAGUGAAUAAAGUAUUGAGAAAGAAUUUUGAAAUAUUUUGAAAUAAAAAAUUAUUAUGAAAGUAAUUUUUAUUUAAUGUAUCUUGUGUAUCAGAGUUUAUUAAUAAAUAUUUUUGGGGGGAAAAUUCUCGAAUUUAAAAGAGAUAAUUAAUUAAUAAAGUUAUUGUAGCAAAACUAUUUUAAAUAAUUAAUUUGAAAUGAAAUGUUAAUCGUUUUUAAAUAUAUCUAGUUUUUUUAGAAAAAAAUUUAAUUUUAAAUUUUUAAAUGAAAAUUAAUUAAUUGAUUAAUUAAUUUUUAUAUAAAAUUUUAUAUUUUAAGGGAUAAGCUUUAAAUUAAAUUUGUAAAAUUAUUAAUAAAAAAAAAUAUGAAAAUUUUAUAAUUUAUAUUGUUAAUAAAUUUUAUUUUAUUAUAAAUAAUUUCAUUUAAAUAUAAAAUUUAAAAUAAAAUUUACUUUUUUAUAAAAAAAAAUUUUUUAAAGAUAAAAAAUUAAGUAUAAUGAUAAAAUUAGUAUAUAAAAUGAAAAUUAUAAUAGAGAUUAAUUUUUUUUUUAAUUAAUUAAAAGGAAUUCGGCAAAUGUAGAAUUAUUCACUUGUUUAUCAAAAACAUGUCUUUUUGGGUAUAAUUUAAAGUCUAAUCUGCCCACUGAUGAAAUAUUAAAGGGCUGCAGUAUUUUGACUGUACAAAGGUAGCAUAAUCAAUAGUCAUUUAAUUGAUGACUUGUAUGAAAGAUUGGAUGAAAUAUAGACUGUCUCUUAAUUAAAUAAAUAGAAUUUAAUUUUUUAAUUAAAAAGUUAAAAUAAUAUAAAAAGACGAGAAGACCCUAUAGAGUUUAAUAAUUUUUUUGAUUAAGGUUAUUUAUAAAUUGAAAAUUAAAAUUAAUUAUGUAUUAUUUUAUUGGGGUGAUAGAAAAAUAUAAUUAACUUUUUUUAGUAAUUAUCAUAGAUAAAUGAAAUUGAUGAUCCAAUAUUAUUGAUUAUAAGAAAAAAUUACCUUAGGGAUAACAGCGUAAUUUUUUUUUUUAGUUCAAAUAAAAAAAAAAGUUUGCGACCUCGAUGUUGAAUUAAGAUAAAAUUUAAAUGCAGAAGUUUAAAAUUUUGAUCUGUUCGAUCAUUAAAAUCUUACAUGAUUUGAGUUCAAACCGGUGUAAGCCAGGUUGGUUUCUAUCUUUUAUUAUAUAAAAUAUUUUAGUACGAAAGGAUUGGAUAUUUAAAUUAAAUUUAUAUUAUUUUUGAAUAUUAUUAAUAAAAUAUUAAUUAAAAUUUUAAAUAAUAAAUAAUUUUUUUUAAUUUUAAAUAAAAUUUAUUUAUGAAAAAUUUUAAAAAAUUAAUAUAUAUAUA